CUUCGGGUGGGGAUUAGUGGCGAACGGGUGAGUAACACGUGGGCAAUCUGCCCUUCACUCUGGGACAAGCCCUGGAAACGGGGUCUAAUACCGGAUACUGACCUGCCAAGGCAUCUUGGCGGGUCGAAAGCUCCGGCGGUGAAGGAUGAGCCCGCGGCCUAUCAGCUUGUUGGUGAGGUAAUGGCUCACCAAGGCGACGACGGGUAGCCGGCCUGAGAGGGCGACCGGCCACACUGGGACUGAGACACGGCCCAGACUCCUACGGGAGGCAGCAGUGGGGAAUAUUGCACAAUGGGCGAAAGCCUGAUGCAGCGACGCCGCGUGAGGGAUGACGGCCUUCGGGUUGUAAACCUCUUUCAGCAGGGAAGAAGCGAAAGUGACGGUACCUGCAGAAGAAGCGCCGGCUAACUACGUGCCAGCAGCCGCGGUAAUACGUAGGGCGCAAGCGUUGUCCGGAAUUAUUGGGCGUAAAGAGCUCGUAGGCGGCUUGUCACGUCGGUUGUGAAAGCCCGGGGCUUAACCCCGGGUCUGCAGUCGAUACGGGCAGGCUAGAGUUCGGUAGGGGAGAUCGGAAUUCCUGGUGUAGCGGUGAAAUGCGCAGAUAUCAGGAGGAACACCGGUGGCGAAGGCGGAUCUCUGGGCCGAUACUGACGCUGAGGAGCGAAAGCGUGGGGAGCGAACAG
rnacentral:rRNA from 1 species